UACGUAGGGUGCAAGCGUUAAUCGGCGUUACGGGGCGUAAAGCGUGCGGAGGCGGUCUUGCAAGACAGGUGUGAAAUCCCCGGGCUUAACCUGGGAACUGCACUUGUGACUGCAAGGCUGGAGUACGGCAGAGGGGGAUGGAAUUCCGCGUGUAGCAGUGAAAUGCGUAGAUAUGCGGAGGAACACCGAUGGCGAAGGCAAUCCCCUGGGCCUGUACUGACGCUCAUGCACGAAAGCGUGGGGAGCGAACCGG
rnacentral:rRNA from 1 species